UACGUAGGUGGCAAGCGUUGUCCGGAUUUAUUGGGUUUAAAGGGUGCGUAGGCGGUCCUAUAAGUCAGUGCUGAAAUAUCCCGGCUUAACCGGGAGGGUGGCAUUGAUACUGCAGGACUUGAGUAGAGUUGAAGUGGGCGGAAUUGACGGUGUAGCGGUGAAAUGCUUAGAUAUCGUCAAGAACACCGAUAGUGAAGACAGCUCACUAAGCUCAAACUGACGCUGAGGCACGAAAGUGUGGGGAUCAAACAGG
rnacentral:rRNA from 1 species